GCCCGGUUAGCUCAGUCGGUAGAGCAUUCGGCUUUUAUCCACCCCUCACGGGGCAUAUAUGAGACCGAAAUGUCGGGGGUUCGAGCCUCCCAUUGGGCG
rnacentral:tRNA from 1 species